GCGUAGGUGAUGGACAACAGGUUGAUAUUCCUGUACUACCGAUAACCGUCUGUGAGAAGGGAUGACACAGAAGGAUAAGCUAAUCACACUGUCGGUUAUGUGUGCCCAAGCAUUGCGGCAGACAAAGAAGGCAAAUCCGCUUUGAUAGAGCUGGGAUGUGCUGGGGAGCGCAAUUUAGUAGCGAAGUAGCUGAUUUCACACUGCCCAGAAAAUUCGCAAACGAUGUUAAAGGUACCCGUACCGCCAACCGACACAGGUGGGUGAGGAGAGUAUCCUAAGGCCAGCGAGAGAACGGUUGUUAAGGAACUCGGCAAAAUGACCCCGUAACGUAGGGAUAAGGGGUGCCACCAUCCGGUGGCCGCAGAGAAUAGG
rnacentral:rRNA from 1 species